rnacentral:rRNA from 1 species
CUAUGCUGUAAACGGUGGGCGCUAGGUGUGGGGACCUUCCACGGUUUCUGUGCCGUAGCUAACGCUUUAAGCGCCCCGCCUGGGGAGUACGGCCGCAAGGCUAAAACUCAAAGGAAUUGACGGGGACCCGCACAAGCAGUGGAGUAUGUGGUUUAAUUCGACGCAACGCGAAGAACCUUACCAGGGCUUGACAUCCUCUGACACUUUUAGAGAUAGAAGGUUCCCUUCGGGGACAGAGAGACAGGUGGUGCAUGGUUGU